AUACUUUAAGUAUCCUAAAGGGUUGUCGUAGACUACGACGUUGAUAGGCAGGGUGUGUAAGCGUUGUGAGGCGUUGAGCUAACCUGUACUAAUUGCCCGUGAGGCUUAACCAU
rnacentral:rRNA from 1 species